AUCGCUUCUCGGCCUUUUGGCUAAGAUCAAGUGUAGUAUAUAUAUGGUCCAAAUCCUUAGCAAGCUUUAUAAGGUUCAUCACGAUCAGACCUAUGAUUUCUAUGCCUUUAAUCUCAAUUCUUGCUAUCCCUC
rnacentral:snRNA from 1 species